GCCAAAGCAAUGUCUUUAACAUAUACCUGCUUUCACUGAAUAGUAACAAUUCUAUCAGUCUGUGGUGAAAGGGAAAAUCUCAAUAUUAAGGACAUAAAUUGACAAUAUUUUCAAUACGAAAGAUGUUCCAUGGAAUAGGGACGCAUUCGUGGGGUUUAUUUAUUUAUUUAUUUAUUUAUUUAUUUUUCGAGACGGAGUCCUGCUCUGUCACCCAGGCUGGAGUGCAGUGGCAGGAUCUAGGCUCACGGAAACCUCCUCCUCCUGAGUUCAAGCAAUUCUCCUGCCGCAGGCUCCCAAGUAGCUCGGAUUACAAGCACCCGCCACCAUACUCGGCGCUAAUUUUUGUAUUUUUAGUAGAGACGGGGGUUUCACCAUGUUGGCCAGGAUGAUUUCGAACUCCCGGCCUCGUGAUCCGCCCGCUUCGGCCUCCCAAAUUGCUGGGAUUACAGGCAUGAGCCACCG
rnacentral:lncRNA from 1 species